rnacentral:lncRNA from 1 species
CCCACCUCGGCCUCCCAAAGUGCUGGGAUUAUAGGCGUGAACCACCAUGCCUGGCCUUGAUCUAUUAAUACGUCCCAGGAGCUACAGAAUUAUAUUCAUGAACUUUGAAUGACUUCAGUCAAGUCACUUUUCUUCUCUAAGUCUUAUUUCUCAUCUGUAUAAUGUGAGUGAGAGGUGAGGGGUGGGUAGGGGAUAUUGGGUAGGUGGCUACCUGUGAUCUCUACAUUGGGUAGAGGGCUGUGUUCACUAGAGUUCCAGAUUUUCUGUGAUUCUAAGAAGCCUUUGGAAUCUUGGAGUGAGUAUUCCCAGGGAACUCUGAUGUGCUGAAAAGCUCUCCUACAUCGUUGAUGUCAGCUGUGCCUGAGGCUUUUUAAUGGGUCAACAGACCCCAAAGAUCCAGAAGGGUCCUGAGACAUGAAGCUGGUCCUCACAACUCUGCACAGACUAGGAGGCCCAAAGAAGAGAAACAUUCACUACACCAAGUUGCCUGCAUUUGGUCCUGGGUUCAAGCCACCAACUUCUGUCAUUUUAGUAGAAAACAAGCAUAACAACAGCAUUUACUGACAGGGUGUUGGAGCCAAAAAGUGGAAAUGAAACAAACAAGCUUUUCUGGCAGAGAGAAAGAAUCUGCUGGAAGGUCAGACAACCACAAGACUAGAAUUACACAUGACUCUUCCUAGAGCAGCAUGAACAGAAAAUGCUCACAGGAUUGGAAGUCUGAAAACCCGAGGGCUGGAAAGAACCAUUCAGAUCUACAGAGUAUUUUACAGCCUUCAAAACAUUGAAAGUCUCUUAAUUUUUCUACAGACAGCUGUGGGGAAAGUUACCACCACCCAUUUCCCAGAUGAGAAAACUGAGCCUUGGAAAAAUAAAAGAUAUUUCCAAGGGUUGAAGGCAUGUCUUACUUCAAAUUCAGCCUUGGCUAUGUGACCUGAAAAAACUCAGUCCUCAGCUCUGUUCUUAGUUUUACUAUCUGUAAAAUAAAGAGGUUGAUUUGUAAAAUAAACAGGAUAAGAUUUUAAUAGCCCUAUCUGCUCAUAAAUGCUAUGUCAUUGUGUGCCACUGGUAUGGAGUGCAAGAUAUGUAUAUCUUUCUCCUCCCAGUAUUAAAUUUAAGGAGUAAAAUUGGCAUUGUCUCUGAAUGGGAAACAAAUUUCAGGUCACAGGAUGCCUCUUCCAACCUCAAAAGAUUUGCUUUAUAUUCUGGGUAGAAGUUAGAGCUGACCUUAUCACAGUGCCAAAGGGGACCUUGGAUGAAGUUAGCCUGCUUUUCUCAUCAUACAGAUAAAGAAAUGGAGACCUAGACAGUAGAAGCAUGUCCAAUGUCAUAUAAUAAUCAAGGACAGAGCCUAGUUCAGAUUCCUAGUGUCUCCGUUUUCUAGUUUUCCCAAAGAAAACUCCCAACCCUGAGAUGAAAAGGGAUAAAUACUAGAUUGCCUACUUUACAAAUAAGUAAAAGUCAGAUCACAUAGACAGUAAAUGGCAGAGAAGGGAUUCAAAUCCAACUCUGUCUGGCUCUUUAGUAUGCCACUCCUCUGCCUCCUCCACUUGGAAGACUCUCUUUCACCCAGGAGCUAAGUUAACAACCACACAAAGUCUUGUACAUUUAAGCACCAGUUGUGCUGAGCCAAGCUCUGUGGCUUUGGGCUGUGUAAGAGCCAUUUAACAGGUGGAGGGAGGAGAUUUAUGCAUUAAUCAAAUUAUUCUUCAUAAAGAGUUUUUCCCUGCUUCUCUUGUUCAAAACAACAGCACAAGGUAUAAUCAAGGGCUCGUUUCCAGCUUAGGCAGAAGGCAUCAUCUUUUCCCAUGCAUUCACUGGAAUGUACCUAAGGAGACCCCAACUACCCAAGGAGCUAGGGUCCAAUGGUCCCCAAGGCCAUCGAGAAUACCUUGGUCCAGAAUCAGAGGACAAAAAUACCCCACAAACCUCAGGCAUGUCAUAUCCUCUCUCUGUUAGUCCCUAACUGUGCCAUAAAAUGGGGUUCAGGAUUUUACUCAGAGCCUCUACUCCAGGGGUAGGGAGUUCUCAUACAGAGGAACUUCCACUCUGCAUUAGAAUGAGCUAUGAUAUUCAUUGCCAACAGAAUACAAGUUCCAGCAAUGUUUAUAAAGUGAGAAAAUGCCCCUGAGAUCCCUCCAUUUGUAAAGUGCCCUUUUGGGUUAGCCAAUGGCCUCUCCCAUACAAAAUAUGAAUCCUAUUCUAAAAUGUCAUGUCCCUAGCACUUUAGGUACCAGCAAAGUUUUCAAGUACUAUCUAGAAGAGGAGUUACCAAAGGAAACAUAGAAAAAGAAAAGAGCCAUUUUAAAUAAACAUAUUCUUAUCACUAUCAUAGAUAACAUUCGUCUGUUAAGUGAUUUCUUCUUGGACAUUAUGCAUUCAUUAUCUCUUUUGAUUCCCAUGAAGUAGGGAUUGUGAGACCACAUUUUACAAGUGUGGAAACUGAGGUAUGAAGACACCAUUCAGCAUCACAUAGUGAAUGGGGAUUGAGGAAACAUCCAAACCCAAGCCGGUAGAGCAAAGAACCUGUACUAUCUGCUUCCAUGUAAAUAAAGUGUCUUGUAGGAAACUCAGAAAGAAACUGACUCCACUUAUCUGUUUUUUAAUUUUUGUUUUGUUCUGUUUUGUUCUUUGUUUUUUGAAGUAGGAAAAGAAAGUCCCAGAAAGAGAAAAGAACUUGCUAUGACCUGCUAUGUCUCAGUGUGAAAGCCCAGGCCCCUCAACUAUAGGUCAGGGCUCUGAAGUGUUUUCUUGUAUCCAUGUGGCCUGUAGAGAUGAUAGAAAGAUGGAAAAGUCAUGGGAGGAAGGGUGAUGGGAGUUAGUGGCAGAGUUGGAGAAAAAAUGAUAAACAAAACGAGAGUAGCUGCUUUUUCUUCCCACCAGCGUUGUUUUGUGGCCAUAUUCCCUUCCUCCAGGAUCAUUUCCAGACCUGCAGUGGGUCUAUCCCACUCAUUCCCACUGCAACCUGGCUCCUUUGGAAAUGUCUAAGGCACUCCAUCCCUUAGGCUGUCAUGACACUUUAAACAGGCCUUUCAUUUGUGUUUGGGGAGGGAAAGAAGAAACUGGAGACUUGGAGGAAGCCGCCUACAGUCUUUCAGCUCUAACAUUUCUUUGCAAGGAUCACUAAGAGGAAAAGAGAGUAGAAGUGAGAAGAUAGUGCCCAUGCCUGUCUGUUUGCUCUAACUUCUCCUGGCUUCCCCAUUGCCCUGGGGCUAAACUCCUCACCACAUGUUGUACAGUUCUGCCUGACUUCUCUUCAGCAUUGUCCAUGGAGUUUUCUCCCAGUCUCAGCUCCAGCCACACUGGUUUUCAUUCUCUUCCUGAAAUGGGUCACAUUUGCUCAUUCUUCAGGUGUUUGCAGAAGUUGGGCAUUCUACCAGCAAUGUUCUCAUUCUCCUCUUCCUUUCUGAAACCUCAGUCUUCCAUAUUCAUUUUAUGCACUUGGCCCCCAAAAGCUCACUUUACAUGUCACUUUCUCAGGAAAGCCUUCUCUGACUGCGUAAGGCCCCUUAAUACACGCUUGCAAUCCACCAGCCUAGUACUCUAUACAGUCUUGACUCUACUUAUUAGUGUGAUUGUUUCAUUAAUAUCUGUCUUCUCCAUAAGUCUGUGAACUCCGUAAAGAUAAAGACCAUAUCCACUUGUCAUACUGUUCACUCUUCAGGGUAUAACGCAGUCUUAGCAUACAGUGGGGGCUCAAAGAUACUUAAUGAAUGAAUGACUAGCACUUCCAGCUCUACAGGUCUCCUGCAAGGAGAACAGUGACAUCUAGUGACCACUUUCACACUCUUGGGAUUCUCUGAUCACACACCACUAAUUAGCCUCAGAAAGACCUCACUGGAUUUCCAAUAAGUUGAAUAUUUCAAUGAUGCUGAGGGAACCUGGCAUGGAAUCCAGACAUAGGGGAAUCUGGCUCCUGCACAAACAGGAAAGGCACCACCAGCCUAUCUAUUGCUAUGCAUGUGCCAAGAACACAUUGCAAAAGUCCCGUGGCUUGGCUUGUAGUGUGCCACAUUGCAGAUGAGGACAGUGUGGCCCAGAAAGGCCGUCACUGGAGCGAGUUCACAGAGCAGUAAACAGGGAUAUUCACAGGCUCAUUCACCAAGUCCCAGAAGGCCAGUUAAACAAAACUACAUCCUCACUGAUACAACACUAGUCGAACCACUAGGUAUUUUUAUUUAUUUAUGUUUUGGAGACAGUGUCUCAUUCUGUUACCCAGGUUGAAGU